GAUUUCUUUAAUUUUGCUUCUCAAGCAAAUACUCAGGCACUUUUAGGUUGAGACACCAUUGACCUUCAACUGCUAAUUAUGGACAACAUUACUAUUUUUGGUCACAUGGAUGGAGACUUACGUCGAACUGUAAUAUUGACUCCUUUUACUCAUUUUCUU